UACAGAGGUCCCAAGCGUUACUGAGAAUCACUGGGUUUAAAGGGUGCGUAGGUGGUCCGUUAAGUCAGUUGUGAAAUCCCCGGGCUCAACCCGGGAACUGCUUCUGAUACUGGCGGACUUGUGGCCAGUAGGGGUCACUAGAACUGACGGUGGAGCGGUGAAAUGCGUAGAUAUCGUCAGGAAUGCCGGUGGUGAAGACGGGUGACUGGGCUGGUUCUGACACUGAGGCACGAAAGCGUGGGGAGCGAACGGG
rnacentral:rRNA from 1 species